rnacentral:rRNA from 1 species
AUCAUUACAGAGUUGCAAAACUCCCUAAACCAUUGUGAACGUUACCUAUACCGUUGCUUCGGCGGGCGGCCCCGGGGUUUACCCCCCGGGCGCCCCUGGGCCCCACCGCGGGCGCCCGCCGGAGGUCACCAAACUCUUGAUAAUUUAUGGCCUCUCUGAGUCUUCUGUACUGAAUAAGUCAAAACUUUCAACAACGGAUCUCUUGGUUCUGGCAUCGAUGAAGAACGCAGCGAAAUGCGAUAAGUAAUGUGAAUUGCAGAAUUCAGUGAAUCAUCGAAUCUUUGAACGCACAUUGCGCCCGCCAGCAUUCUGGCGGGCAUGCCUGUUCGAGCGUCAUUUCAACCAUCAAGCCCCCGGGCUUGUGUUGGGGACCUGCGGCUGCCGCAGGCCCUGAAAAGCAGUGGCGGGCUCGCUGUCGCACCGAGCGUAGUAGCAUACAUCUCGCUCUGGUCGCGCCGCGGGUUCCGGCCGUUAAACCACCUUUUUAACCCAAGGUUGACCUCGGAUCAGGUAGGAAGACCCGCUGAACUUAAGCAUAUC